GCCUGGGUGGCACAGUCGGUUAGGCGCCCGACUUCGGCUCAGGUCAUGAUCUCUCUGUCCGUGAGUUCGAGCCCCGCCUCGGGCU
rfam:Felis catus isolate Cinnamon breed Abyssinian chromosome A3, whole genome shotgun sequence.